UGGGGCAAACACAAAUAACUCAGACAACAAAGAAGAAAGGAGGCAACGGAGGGAAGGGAUGUUCUCAAGGGUGGUUGAACCCUCUCCGUCGCCUAUGAUUUUCGAUUUUGCCCCCUCUUUUAACCACCCUUUUCCUUUUUUUUUUUUUAACGGCAAAUGUUUUAACUGCUACUACUACGCUUUGUUCUCCAGUCAUCACUCAUAUUGGAUCCUCCAUCUAUGUAAUAUCAUCCUACUCGUACUACGGCAAAUUACCUUAAGUGGUCCUUCGGAUAUGCUUUUAUAUAUAGUAUAGAUAAUAGUACAACCUUACAUGAAUUCAUACAUAUACUCACCCAAGGAAGGGUAGGGUAUGAUCCUCAGGGACGAAUUAUGUAAUUUACUCUUUAUAAUAAAAGGGGCGAUGAUGAUGAUGAAUUUCUAGUUGUCUGAGUAAAAUCGGUGCAGCCUUGAGAUAUUCCGAAUCUUGGCAGGGCAAUUUCAUUAUUGCAGCCAUGGAGGUUUUAUCCUAUUUGCACUGGUUGAUUGUUUCUACAGAUCUGAGCCUCGUUCUUUUUUUUAACAAAAUUGUUUUUAAUUAUUCACGGAUCCGAGUCAUGUUUGUCACAUUUUUUUUUGAGUAAAUUUAUUUUUGUGUGUGUUUUAAUGGUUUUAGUCACUUGAGUCUAAAAUAAAAAAGUUUAACGCUCUGAGUCCCUAACCACUCAUUUUAUAAUGUUUUGAGUCCAAUUUGUAACAUUUGUACGUUUUAUUUUGGACUCAGGUGGUUAAAAGCGCUAAAACAUAGAGACCCAAAACGUUAUAAAAUGAUCUGUUAGGACUCGGGCCGUUAAACUUUUUGAUUUUGGAUUCAACUGGUUAAAGGGCGUUCCCCUUUUAACCUCGGAUGGUUUUUGAAAUGUAGUAUUUAUCAUUGGGUUAGCAGUGUUAUUAUUCACUAGUUCUGUGACCGGAACUGGACAGGUAAUUGACCGAACCAAGAUACUUGUAACAUUACCUAUGGUUGAGGUGAAAUUUUAUAUAAGACCCUGCGCUACUAUGAUUGAGGUGAAAGAUACGUGUAUCGUAUCAGUAGGAAACAAUAUCAUGGUGCUAUUGCUAUACAUGAUUUUUAAUUAAGAGUUGUAUUAAUUCCCUAACCAUAGAAAAAUGCCUGAAAGCACCCACACCUGGCCUUAGUUUUCCUCAUUGCAUCAGGGGAGGGGAGAUAUUGACACAGGCUAAAGCAACCUUUAGGACGGCUAACAUCUGGUCUGAAAUGGCUGGUGAUGUCCGACUAAUGGUGGAGUCAAGUAUUUGGUCAACCUUAGGUUUCUCUUUUGACUUGAUAACGAAUAUGCAUUAAAGAUUCAUGUGAAGUCUUUGAAACAAGAAAAGGUACCUAAAGAACAUAACCAAAAGAAGUGCAAAUAAGAAAGGUUUCAUUUACUCUUUGAAAGGUCGAUCUGACAAUCACUUUUAUAUCUCCAAUCUGAGGAUCAUUCAAGGAACUGAGCAUAACAACUUUACAAGAAAAAGAUCGAGGAAGAACAUAAAAAAAGAGUUCCUUUCUUCGUUAAUUCAUACAAUAUCACUUGUCAAGGCAUACAAGUAGGGUCAAGACAUUUGCAUUUUGUUGCUUAUAGUUUAUUUUCCAGCAUUUUAAAUCUAAGUUCUGUUAUGAUGAAGAUUGAGAGGUGGUAUAUGCAUAAUGAUGUGGGAUCUGUGAAUAACAUGAGUGAGCUUGGUGAAGAUCAUACACUCUUGUAGAAUGGUGAUGAUAAAUAUGUUCCUUCUUCACAUAGUCAGCCCUCUUCAAAUUGCGACUACUUUUUCAAAGUCGAAGCAUUUUCUGCAUCUAUUUUUUGAACUACAAGAAUUCGUUUGGAAUAUGAAUGAAACCUAUAAUGUUCAAGUCCUUAAAAAAAUUCAAAUUUUGAUCUUUAGCGUUUUGUUGAACAAACAAUAUUGAAAUUAAUAUAUUCUUCAACCAAUUGAACAUACACUUUAUGGUGUUACUUUCAGAGGAGAUAUUCUUCAUGAAUCUACAGUAAGGCAAAGAGGCAGAGGCGCGAUGUAACUGGUACACCAUAUAGUUGUAAAUUGUUGCCUUUAUCUAAAGGACUCAUCUGGGAGUUGGGUUUGGCAAUGGGAAAGAUGUGUAGUAGACUCUUACCGACAUGGCGAUUUUGUCUUCUCUUGCUUGAUUAUAUAAAACAUAGCAUUAUAGCGGAACAACACAGAUUUUUGAGUUUGGCUUUUUUAGUUUAAGUGGAUUUGAUCCAUAUCCUAUUGAACACGGAUGUAUGUAUGUUUAUGGAAUGGGUCGGGUUCUUGCUAA